rnacentral:lncRNA from 1 species
UCAACAAUGUAGGGUACCAAGAAAACCUUUUCAUCUCCCUUAUCAAUCUUCCAGUGCCCUUCUUACCAUCAAGUUGCAUAUCCAACUUGGAAUUCUUCAUGUUGGAACUGAUCAAUCUUGAUAGUUGAGCACAAAUCAAUUAGGAUCUAUCCAAUGUUCAAAAAGUGGAAACCUCUUAAAACUUAUCAGAGUUGAGCUAACUCAAAGACUCAGUCCAAUUCAAGAUUUGACAAAAAAAUUUAAAUCUUAAAAGUUUCAAGUUUUCAUAAAUAGAAGAAGUGAAAAAA